AAUAAAUAAAUAAAAUCUUUUUUUAAAAAAAGCAGAAUCUCCCACUUCACCCAUGAAUCAGAAUCAGCUCCUCCAGAUGAUUAACCAGCAGUGUCUGUGGGCACUGGCUAAAUUGGUGGCUUGUGUGGCUACCCAGUUGAGCAGUUUACCUCUAAACCAAGGACAAUGGGGGGAAGGUGGGCUAGGAGAUAGACUGAGAGAGAUCAUUUAAUUUAUAAUAUAUUCUAAAUAUAAUAUAUAAAUUUAUGACACUGGACUACAUGCUCAGGGUUUGGGUUUUGUUUUGGGUACCAGGAAACGACAAAGAACACAAUAAGAGUGUAUGUGUAUUUGGGGGAUGAAUUGUUUCCCUUUCCCCUGCCCUCUUGUAUUACUGGUAGUCUUUGGAUGGGACCAAGGGACUAACUGCCCCAUUGGUAACAGACCCUGAGCACAUGGUAAGCACACCAGUGAGGAGAUUAGUCACUCUCAUCAAGGAAACGGUAGAGUUUUUCAUGAAGGUCCUCAUUCUUCGGGCUCCAGAAAUUACUGGAAAGGGAGUUGCAAGCCUAUGGGCCUUGGCCGGUUUGGGCAUGGCCCAGGAUAGAGUAGGAACGGAGACCUUAGGUGGGAGGCAGCCAUGGGCUGGGCUGGGUAGUCUGCUCACAUGGGGCCCUGGGUUGGCGUCCCCUUACACUACCCUUGUUUGUCAAGUACUGGUAAGUCUCGGUCCCUGCCCCUGAUGGGGGACCUGUGAUCCUUACUUUGAGGGCUCGGAUUCAGAGUUCCAUAAGCGCUCUGGAUUCACUCAGGUUAAACUUCUCACCCUAAACAAGUAUGAAAAUAAGGGACUGAACACAGCUCACGGAUGAGUCUCUGGCCUGGUUCUUUUUGGCUCUGUCAUGCACCAAACCUGGCAUUGUCCUUAAGACCCGAACCUCAGUGCUAACUCAUGGUGGUUUUUAGCUAUUUACUCUCCCUAGUUUUUCCAUGUUUAGAAGUUCCCUUUUUACGUAAAUGUGUAUGUUUAGGUUAAAGUUCACAUUUUUAGUUAACAGUCUAAACUAUUAAAUCUGAACUGGAAAAUACACAUUCGAUGUUGUAUAGGGCUAAUUAUUUUAAUAUUUCUGAUUUUGUUUAACCAAGUGCUGUAGUAUGUCUGCUCUGGGAUUCAUAUAUACACAUUUACCUAAUUUUGCAACAUGGGUCCUGUUUACUUCAAAAAUAAUUUUGAAGCAUUUACCUGGUAUGCUUUGAAAUUUUUGUUUUUCUGGUAUUGAAUAUAUUUAGCUGUUGUUCUCUGUUCAGUAGGCUGAGACUUGGGUGUGCUUACCAUGAUUUUGUGUGAAAACUGAUGAGGCUUACAAAUUAUUCUAUAGGAAAACUAGAACCCUCUGAAGGGAGGGAGUUCAUAUUCCCGUUUCAGUGGUCCCAGCUGUAUUCCUGAAAGGGAAAGCACUAUCAGGAGCUGUGCGUACAGCUUACAGAGGAGAUUGUUUGGGUAGCCAUUUGGAAUUUCUGUCUCCAGUGUUGUGUGACUACAAGUGAGGGAACCAGCAUCAAUUGAGUACCUACCACUUAAGCCAUUCUGCAUGAGGUUUUUAGCAUGCUGAUCACAAAAUCAACCUGUCACAGAGGAAGAGUUCCCCCAGCCGCCCCCUGCCAACCUUGGGGUUUUAGGUCUGCAAGGUAUUUGCUUGAGUACCUCACAAUCCAACUGUUUUUGUGUAACAUUAAACCAGCUUCAACUUAAAAAAAAAAAAAAGAAAAAGAAAAAGAAAGUAGCUCUUAAAGAACUUUAUGUGGGCAGUAUUUGUUGUGUGAAAUGUGUCCAGGCAGGCAGGACUCUACAGUGAAGGCUCUGAUGGACAGGCUCAUGCCUGGGACUCCUGAAACAAAGUGUUUGUAGACACACAGAAUGAGCGCCGAAGGUCCAAAACCUGAAAUGUCCUCUUUGAGACACCCUGAGUGUGUUGCUUGGUCUCUCUUCUUCCGUUGACUGGGAACCAUACCAGAAGGAUGGGGAUCAUCUACUUCUGACAAAUCUGUGAUUACAUUCAGACCUUACCAGGUUGGCAGUACCUUUUGGGUCUUGGGUAAUCAGAGGUGACCGUACAUCUUGUAAGGGGGAGCUGUGCCCUAAGCGGAGAAUGCAGCAAACUAGAAAAGUGCAGAUGGUCUGGCCCCUCCCCACAGAGAUGGGGUGGAGAACAAAUGAUCUAGCAACCCAGCUCAGUAAAGCUAUUGCUGUUGCUCUCAUUGGUUCUGAAUGGCCUGUGGGGGAAGGAAUGUGCCUUGACUAAAUUUGGGGGAGAUCCUCUAAUAGUAGAGGACACACAAAAUUAAUGCCUGCACUUUUUCUUUUAGAUUUUAUUUAUUUGACAGAGAGAGAUCACAAGUAGGCAGAGAGGCAGAGAGAGAGGGGGAAGCAGGCUUCCUGCUGAGCAGAGAGCCCGAUGUGGGGCUCGAUCCCAGGACCCUGGGGUCAUGACCAGUGCCAAAGACAGAGGAUUAACCCACUGAGCCACUCAGGCACCCCACCUGUGCUUUUUCCGAUACUAUAUCAUCCCCCUCUUGGCCUCACUAUCUCCUAUAGAAGGAUCAUUUGCCAAUUGCUGGAAAAAUCAACUUUGCCUGAAUGUUUAGGAAGCUAUUUGGGAUUUCCAGUGUUUUUCUUCCUCUUCAAGAAUAAUAAAGCAGGCUCACAUUUCAGGGUUGGUGGUGGUCAUGGUUCAUCUCUUCUGCUCCCUACCUCAUUCUGCUACUUUGUUCCAAAAGAACUUCUGGGCUCACAAGCUUUUUCCCUGAAGAGGUCAUCAUUUCAAGGGAACUGAGAUCUCAUUUAAAGUUUCUAGUUAAGAAAAUCCAAGGCUCUUGUCUUUCUUUGGCUUUCCAGUGGCAGUUGUUAGGGAAUGAAGCAUUGAUCCACCCUCUCAGCUCUAUCCACCCCUGUGUCCGAUGGAAUAAGACGAAAGGAAGGCAGUGCUGGCUCUCCUGUUUACCCUCCUUCUUUCAUGCCCCCCCCAUGGUGCUGACAGCGGCCAAGGAGGUGGUGAGAUUUCUGCCACGGCGCUAGCUGGGCCACCUGUGAAGCCACUGCCAAAGUCAACAUGUGCAGCCUUUGUGUCUGGCCAGUAGGUUUCAUAAUGGUGGUUAAUGGAAGUUCCUGUUCAGAUGCCCUCAAGCUCGUUGUGUAAUUCUGUCUCUAGAGCUCCCGGGCAUCUUCUCUUAUGUAAAAGCACGAUCUUUAGGGAGCUUUAAAAAUUUCUCUUAACUGGUCACUUGGCAAGGUCCUUGGAGGCUCCUGUGAGUGGCCAUUAAAGGAAAGAGCAGUAGUCCUAGUGGCCGUUCAGUAGAAAUUUGUUGUAGUCCUCGUGUGGAACAGCUUUUGUUCUGGAAAGGUGGAAGAGAGGGCACACAAGUGACUAAGCAGUGAACUCAGAGCCCUGGGACUGUUGGUCUCAGUCAGAGGUGGAGGAGAGGCAGAUAAAUAAAUAACCAUACUAUAAAUUAGAACCAGAGAGCUCUGUGGAGGGGGGCCUGUGAGUGGGUCACUUUGGAUGGAAGCUGAGGAGAGGAUUAGGGAAGGCACGCUCUCUGAUGAGCGCCGGUUGACAUAUGGAUGGAAGUGUUGAAUCACUACAUUGUACACCUGAAACGAAUAUUACAUUGAUGUUAACUUACUGAAAUUUGAAUAAAAACAAACGAAAAAAGAAGCUGGAAGCCUGUUUUAAAGUCUUCUUUGAGGGGAGAGACGAAUUUCUGUGAGGGUGAAGAGAGGUGAGAAGGGUUCUUUGUAGGAGCGGUUGUGUCCUCUGUCUUCAGGGCUGUGUCUCAAGACCUACAGAAGGGCCUGCCCAAGUUGUGCAGCCUGAGGGCCUUGCACUUUCUCUUAACCCAAGAGCCCCACCUUGCUUGGUUUAACGCUCAGCCAUUGCUGUCCGGAAAUUCUUAAUGUUUGUCUUUUUGCUUUGGCAGGGGGCCCUGCGAAUCAUGUAGUCAAGCCCUGCGGGUGGUGAUGGGGCGGUAAAAGUAGCUUGAGCCUAGAAGCUGUAGGAGCUGAGCAAGGUGUGGCGACAGGGUUGUAGAGGAGAACCAGGGAGGCUGGCGGUCUGUGGAGGGAGGCUGACCGCAGACAGACAGAUGUGGCAGAUACCAGCAGCCCCAGUUUACACAUCUGGUGGAGAUGGGCUGCCUUCAGGCCCUGGGACCAACAGCCGAGAGGGUUAUAGGAGACGGCGGAGGCUUUUAGCUGGGCUGCAGAGUCUGCUCGCCAGCAGGAAGGCAGAGAAAGGAUUCCCCAGGCCAGUGGCAGCGAGGCAGAUGUUUUGCAGGAGUGGGGGUGAGGCCCUUUCCAGAAAGACCCGGAAAUCUCUGGUGGGACAGCUUGUGGAAACACGCACCACAGCUGCUGAGCUGAGCAAAUGACCUACAGAUCAGGGUUUGUGUCAGUAUCAAGAGCUUCACUAGAACAAAUAUUCAUCCAAAAAUAAACUUCCCGCUCUUCCUGUUUUUAUAACUUGCCUAUUUCCUCCGAGUUUGAGGCCGGUCUCCAGCUCCGCGGGUUAUUAAUCUUCAGAGGAUCAAGACCUCUAUAGAAGUAUUUCCUGUACAUGUUUAUCUACCCAGCCCUAAAUUAUUUUCUCCAAAUGAUAAGAGAACUUUUCCAUACUGGUGUCAGACUUUUCCUUGGAGAGGUUUCAGUGAGGCAGCACGAGAGGCCGUGGGGACUGGGCUGCGUGGGUGGUGGCUUGCGCCGCAGCGGAACUUGGAGGGAAGCCAGCUGCCUUUUCCCGAGGCCUUCCGAGGUGGGGCAGGGAUGUCCUAUUUUGCACGGAGCUCCGCCCAUCCCUCUUGGUGAUCCAGCCCUUCUGGUGAGACCUUGACCUGUCGUGGAGGAAGUACUCAUUGAGGCCCCAGUCACAACCACUUUUGUGCGGCUCUGCUUCUGCCUGAAGGCAUAGCUCAUUUGGUAAGCUUAGAAUAGAACCUCAGCCUGCUUGUAGAGUGUGAGUCAACUCUGUGGAUGGUUUUGAAUUUCCUGCUCCUUUGCUGAAGACAGUGACUGGGAAGGGCUGAAACUGCCUCUUGGGGGUCCUCCCUGGGCUCUGCUGAGGGGUCCUGCUGUGCUGGUUCUGUUGGACUUCACCUGGGACUUGUGCCCUGAUGCAGGGACCAGCCAAUAGCUCUCAGCCCUGCUUCCUUAGGGUGCAGAUGGGUUCUGCGAGUCUUCCCCUCCAGCUGAACCUCUGGAUUCAGGUCCAGAGGGAAGGAGAGGGUUACUUUCUGGCCUCUGAGGACAGAAAGAAAGCUACCUAACCCGCUGGCGCUGUGUUGGUACAGUGUGUCCCUUCUAAGAGCUAGAAUGCUGUUAGGAUUUCUUAGAGAGAGGUAGAUGACUGGAUGGCCCCUGGGAUGAAUGGGUGGCAAGUCUUUAGGGGGAGUGAGCAGGAGAAGAUCAGGAUAGAGAAUGGGCAGUCUAAAUAAGUGAACUCUGGCUCCCUGCGCAAAUCUCUGUGUGCCUACCCCAUAUGCGUCAUAUCAAAUCAGAAUCUCCUAUUUCCGGAACCAUAUUUUUUGCUUUAGAAAGGCUUUGUCUUGACUUUAAAUGGGUUUGCAGUUGGAAGGUUUUUAUUCCUUCUUUCUCUGUAUCAUGGUCCAGUUAAUCACAGAGCAGUAAACAAGCAUCUUAAUAUAUAAAGGCAACUCUGAUCUCUGAAGUUGUUUGUCACAGGAUUGUUUUCAAUAGCAAAAGGUUCAGAAGAACUUCAGUGUCCGUUAAUAAGGGACUGGUUAAAUCACAGUAUAUCUUUUUUUUUCCCUACUCUUCCUUUCAUUUUAUUUAUUUAACUUUUAAAAUUAUUUUUAUUAACAUGUAAUGUAUUGUUUGACCCAGGGGUACAGGUCUGUGAAUCGUCAGGCUUACACAUUUCACAGCACUCACCAUUGCACAUACCCUCCCCAGUGUCCAUCACCCAGCCACCCUAUCCCUACUUCCCAACCCCCAGCAACCCUCAGUUUGUUUUGCGAGAUUGAGUCUCCUAUGGUUUGUCUCCCUCCCGAUCCCAUCUUAUUUAAUUUUUUUCUCUCCCUACCUCCCACGACUCCCUGCCCUGCCUCUCAAAUUCCUCAUAUCAGACAGAUCAUAUGAGAAUUGUCUUUCUCUGAUUGACUUAAUUUGCUCAGCAUACUAUACUCUAGUUCCAUCCACAUCAUUGCAAAUGGCAAGAUUUCAUUUCUUUUGAUGACUUUAUAGUAUUCCAUUAUAUAUAUAUUUUACAUCUUCUUUAUCCAUUCAUCUGUUGAUGGACAUCCAGGUUCUUUCCAUAGUUUGGCUAUUGUGGACAUUACUGAUAUAAACAUUCGGGUGCACGUGCCCCUUCGGAUCACUACAUUUGUAUCUUUAGGGUAAAUACCCAGUAGUAGUGCGAUUGCUAGGUCGUAGGGUAGCUCUAUUUUGAACUUUCUGAGGAACCUCCAAGCUGCUUUCCAGAGUGGCUGCACCAGCUUGCAUUCCCACCAACGCUGUAGGAGGGUUCGCCUUUCUCUGCGUCCUCGCCAGCAUCUGUCAUUUCCUGACUUGUUAACUUUAGCCAUUCUGACUGGUGUGAGGUGGUAUCUCAUUGUGGUUCUGAUUUGUGUUUCCCCGAUCCCGAGUGAUGUUGAGCACUUUUUCAUGUGUCUAUUGGCCAUCUGGAUGUCUUC